UAUAGGCAGUGACAAACAGCUUCAGGUCAUUUACACUUUAAAGUGCAUCAUGUUCACUGAAGCUUUACUGCUGCUGCUGGCAAGUCUAAACUGUAUUAAUGCAGAGGAACUCUCUCAGCCUGAGUUUCUGACUGUUCGGCCUGAUGGUUCUCUAACUAUUGACUGUAAAGUCUCUUAUUCAGUUACUAGCUAUAAUACAGGCUGGAUCCGUCAGCCUGCAGGAAAACCUCUGGAGUGGAUCGGAAGGAUCAAUAAUGGUGGAGGCUUAUAUUACAAGGAUUCACUGAAAAACAAAUUCAGCAUCACCAGAGACACCUCCAGUAAUACAAUAACAUUGAAAGGAAACAAUAUGCAAGCUCAAGACACAGCUGUGUAUUAUUGUGCCAGAGAAACACAGUGACAAAAACUAACAGCCUCUCUGUACAAAAACAUUAUCACUUAAAUACAUCAGGUUUUCACAACUGAUAUUGAAAUCCAACAAAUAAAUAAUUAAACAAAAUAAAUAGCUUAAAUAUUACCAACCGCAACAAGUAAUGCAUUUUUGUUAAAGUAGAAAAUCAAUAAAAUCGAUAUUGUCACUUGUAUUUCCUCACUGACAUUUGUUUUGCUCUUUAGGAGUAGCAGCUGAACCUUUGCUGAUGUUUAACUUCAUCUCUAUUAAAAGAUACAGUAACACAUGAACUAUUGCAACAUCAGUAGGUGGCAGUAAUGCAUCAAUGUAUUGUGAUCCUUGUAAGAUGCUCAGAGUACAACUUUGGACUUUACCCUAUUUGGGUUCAGUAGACUGUUACUACAUGAAAUGUGGAUUCUUAAUUUUUUUAUCUCCUGGUCGUUUUAUCUUUAAUGUU